rnacentral:rRNA from 1 species
UACGAAGGGGGCUGGCGUUACUCGGAUUGACUGGGCGUAAAGGGCGCGUAGGCGGCUUGUACAGUCAGACGUGAAAUUCCUGGGCUCAACCUGGGGGCUGCGUUUGAUACGUGCGGGCUUGAGUUCGGAAGAGGGUCGUGGAAUUCCCAGUGUAGAGGUGAAAUUCGUAGAUAUUGGGAAGAACACCGGUGGCGAAGGCGGCGACCUGGUCCGAUACUGACGCUGAGGCGCGAAAGCGUGGGGAGCAAACAGG